CAAGAGGCAGUGUAACAGCAAUCUUUGAAAUAUUAUUCCAGAGGUUUGACUUUCAGCUUUAUUAUGUCUAUGAUUUAAAGACGAAAGAAAGAAAAAAGUAUUUUUCUGCAGAGAACGUGAUAGAAAGUAAAAAUUAUUUCUCGCGAAAUAAGUUUCGCGAAAUAACUCGCGAUAUAAGAGCUAGACGAAGUUUUCGGCAAGCUUUUCGCAAAGAUUACGGACAUGGUUAGGUCAGCAUGGUAUAUCUGCUCAGGGUAAACUUGAUGUAAAAUUUGGAGCGGAAGAAAGUUUAACGAAAAUAGCCACGGUACCCACACUCACGAGAUUGUUAUAUCAUAGCCGUAUGUUAUAACCGAAGAAGCAGCGUAUAUCAUAACCGCAAAUUAAACGCACGAUCCGUACAUAAAACCCAUCAUAUCAACUUCGUUACUCACUGAUAAUGUUAUCCCGUAACGAAAAAUUGAGUGAUAUGUCGACCCGUCUCAGGAUUUCGCAAAUUUCAUCCAAUUAUCGACUGCAGACGUCAGAUUGACGUUCGCGUAGCUAUGGUCUAAACGUCUAAAGGGUUUACGUUCCUGAGCGAAGGUUCGUUAGGAUAAUCAUUCGACGGCGAUAUUAUUUUUGAUAAAAAGUAUUUGUUCGUUAUGUAGAGUAUGUAGGAAAGAAUGUUAAAUAAAUUGUGAUGUGCGCGAAA